CUCAAAGCAGCUACUCAUCUCACUGACCCAAACACAUUCUCACAGAGAAGAGGUGGACAGACUGACAAUUCUGCUGAAAUGAGCAGAAGCUGCUGAGAAUUGUGCUGAUAAGAGGUGAAAAGGCUGAAAAUUUUGCAGAAAAGAGGUGAAUCAGCAGAAUUUCUGCAGAAAAGAGGCAAAGAAGCAGAACGUUGUGCUGAAAAGAGGUGAAUGAGCAGAAUUUCUGCUGAAAAGAGGCAGAACAACCUGGUUCUGCUCAAAUUCACCAAUCAGAGGUACUGCCUCAGUCUGCUUCAUCAGGCUGUGUACUUGUUUCUGCCAUGGAGCGUUAACAAGAAUCUGAGGUCCAUAUUAGAAAAGCUGCUAAAAUCAUAAAACUUUGCAGAAUUGUAAUAAAUUAGCAAUAUAAAUUACAGGUCUGUGAUAGUGUAUAAAUUUGUAGUGAAAAAAAAAAA
ensembl:lncRNA